rnacentral:tRNA from 2 species
GUCCCUUGAGUCCAGUUGGUUAGGACAAGCAUUCACUUCAUGCGUGCAGACAGAGGUUCGAUUCCUCGUUGGGGCG